CAGGUGGAAGCCUAAUGGUUUGGCGCUCCCUUUGGGUGGGAGAUCGUGCAGGUUCGACUCCUGUCCACCUGA